CACUGGCUGACAAGUUCAAAAUAGGACGAAAUGCGCAUCCUAGUG
rnacentral:hammerhead_ribozyme from 1 species